rnacentral:rRNA from 1 species
AACGAACGCUGGCGGCGUGCCUAACACAUGCAAGUCGAACGGGGAUAGGGAGCUUGCUUCCUAUUCUAGUGGCGCACGGGUGAGUAACGCGUAGAUAAUCUGCCUGACGAUCCGGGAUAACAUCUCGAAAGGGGUGCUAAUACCGGAUAAGCCCACGGGGUCUUUGGAUCUUGCGGGAAAAGGGGGGGACCUUUUGGCCUUCUGUCGUCAGAUGAGUCUGCGUACCAUUAGCUAGUUGGUAGGGUAAAGGCCUACCAAGGCUACGAUGGUUAGCUGGUUUGAGAGAAUGAUCAGCCACACUGGAACUGAGACACGGUCCAGACUCCUACGGGAGGCAGCAGUGGGGAAUUUUGCGCAAUGGGCGAAAGCCUGACGCAGCAACGUCGCGUGAGUGAUGAAGGCUUUCGGGUCGUAAAGCUCUGUCGAGGGGAAAGAAGUGUAUUGUGGCUAAUAUCCGCGAUACUUGACGGUACCCCUAAAGGAAGCACCGGCUAACUCCGUGCCAGCCGCCGCCGUAACAC